CGAGCUUUUCAUUUCAUAAUUUUAGUUUGUCCAGCAACAUUCGUGUUGCCUAAGGUGAUGAUUUGUCUAGGUGUUACAUUUCCUGUUUAUAGGAUACAUUUUAAUUUUAACAUUUUACAUAUUUGUGUCUAAUAUUGACUGCCAGUGUUAAAAAUAAUAAAAGUGUUCGAAACACUUCUUAAAAAAUUGAAGUCUUUUAAUAUUUUCGCAUUGUAAUGGACCAUGCGAAAUAUUUUCCACGAUUUACUAUGCCAUAAAUGAAGUCAAGAAAACCCUUUGAUGUACUUAAGUUAUUAUAGUCAGUAUUUCUAAAAGGAGCCACCCGAUACGCAUUUCAAGUUGGACCAACGUUGGCGUCAGUUGUCUUGCCAACUAAUGACACCAAUGGUUGGCGGACCGUUAUCAUUUGUAUAGUGCGGAAUUAUAAGUGUGAUUAAGAUAGACCAUAUCGUACAAAAUGGAAUAAUAAAGAGUUUCAAUAUAAUUUCUUCAAAAAAAUGUAAUAAGCAUUAAUCUUUGAUCAAUUGAUAUGUGUCAUAAUGAAAAAUAUUUUUAUUCUUCUCUUCUUGUUCGUUCCAAUUUCAUUUCUAAAGGAAAUUAAAAUUAAAGUUAAUCCACGCAUUGUAAAUACAAGAUACGGAAAAGUUCAAGGGUUAAUUCAAACAUUUGAUUACAAUAAAGUUCUAAAACCCAUUGAUGUAUACCUUGGUAUGCCAUAUGCUACUCCACCUACCGGUAAUAAUCGAUUUUCACCAACUAGAGCACCUAGUCCGUGGGAUGGAAUCAGGUUAUUUGAUUCUGUAGGACCUGUUUGUCCUCAAAAUUAUCCAGAUGUGUCUAAUGAAAAUGAAAUCUUAACGCAAAUGCCAAAAGGAAGGAUAGAGUACUUAAAAAGACUUUUACCUCACUUACAAAAUCAAAGUGAAGAUUGUCUUUAUCUAAACAUAUAUGCUCCUACAAUGGGUACAAUUGAUAGUGGUAAUAGAUUUCCUGUAGUAUUGUAUAUUCAUGGAGAAAGUUAUGAGUGGGGUAGUGGCAGUUUAUACGAUGGUAGCGUUUUGGCAAGCUACAUGGAUCAAGUGAUUGUGACAAUCAAUUAUCGCUUAGGAGUUCUUGGAUUUUUAAAUACUAAUGUUUCCCCACAAACUCGAGCUAGAGUAGCUAACUAUGGACUAAUGGAUCAAAUAGCAGCACUUCACUGGAUCCAACAAAAUAUAUUUUUAUUUGGCGGAGAUCCUGGUAAUGUUACUCUAAUGGGACAAGGAACAGGUGCAGCUUGUGUUAACUUCCUUGCCAUCAGUCCUACAGUUAUAAAUGGACUCUUUAAAAGAGCUAUUCUUUUAUCCGGCAGUGCUUUAUCAUCUUGGUCAUUAGUAGAAGAUCCUGUGACCUAUGCUGUAAAAUUAGCCACGUCCAUUAACUGCUCAAUUCCAGAUGAUCUGUUAAAGGAUAAUGAACUUAUAGUAGAUUGUCUGAGAGAAAAAAACCUUCAAGAAUUACUUCAUGUACAAGUAGAAGCACCAACUUUUUUAAGUGCCUUUGGACCAAGCGUCGAUGGAGUUGUAAUUAAAACAGACUUUCAGAAAGACCUAUUAUCUUAUUUAGAUACUGAAUUUCAAACUUUUGGUCAAUUUCAUAAAAAGUCUGAACAUGGAACGCCAAUUACGAGUAAUAAUAAAUAUGACUUGCUCUUCGGUGUCACUACAAAUGAAGCACUGUGGAAAUUUGCUGAUAAAGAUAUACAACAAGGAUUUGAAGGUGAUAGGAGGGAUCGAAUUAUCAGAACUUAUGUGAGGAACUCAUAUUCUUAUCAUCUGACUGAAAUUUUUUAUACGAUUGUUAAUGAGUAUACUGACUGGGAAAGAACUGUGCAGCAUCCUGUGAAUAUAAGAGAUUCCUGCGUGCAAGCUUUAAGUGACGCUCAAUAUGUGGCACCAUUGGUACAAAUGGGAGAUUUAUUUACAUUAAGGCAUACGAAAAAGUUAAAUUCACCGCACUCACUGCAAUUACUUGAAACUGAUAAGGAACCAGUGCCGAAAACUUAUUUCUACGUAUUUGAUUAUCAAACGAAAGAUGGCGAUUACCCUCAGAGAAUGGGUGUUGUUCAUGGAGAAGAACUUUCGUUUGUUUUUGGUGCCCCAUUAGCAGAUGGUAUUGGAUAUUUUCUAAAAAAUUACACAAGAGCUGAAGUAUCCUUAUCAGAAGGCAUUAUUCAAUUCUUCGCUAAUUUCAUUCGUACGGGAAAUCCAAAUGCUGCAGAGAACCAUGUGAGAAGUGAUGCUGUUUUACCUAUUAGUAGAGAACGUAGCAGAUUUCGAAAUAUAAAUUGGGAGCAGUAUGAUCCAGUGCAUCAGAAGUACUUAGAAAUUGGGAUGAAACCAAGAAUUAAAAAUCAUUAUCGUGCGCAUCAAUUAUCGGUUUGGCUACGGUUGAUACCUGAACUUCACCGAGCUGGAAUGGAAGAUGUGGAGCCAAGACAUAAUUUAUUCAAAGGAUACACAGAUCAAAAUAUGUACGAUGGUUUAGUGCGACCCGAUCCAUUACGUAGAUUGGAUGACGAAUUUUCAAAAAGAAAUAUAACAACAGAUGUAUCAACUGCAAUGGACUUCAGUGUUACAACUUGUGUUGGUUUGAUACAGAGUACCAAACUUCAAAAUAUUAAUAAUUCAUCUACCGACACACUUGCGAGUUUAGAUGCAGCGGGAUAUGCAGCAUACUCUACAGCAUUAAGUGUAACAAUAGCAAUUGGUUGCAGUUUACUCAUUCUCAAUGUACUAAUCUUUGCUGGUGUAUAUUAUCAGAGAGAUAAAACUAGAAUGGAAGUGAAAAAUUUACAAAAGAAGCGAAUUUUAAAUCAGUCAUGUGGACCUAGGACAUUCAAUGAACUGAAGCAGUUACCCCAUUCACAUUUUAUAGAUAAUAAUCCCAUUAUUGUGGAUGUUGAAAAUGAAAUACUUAGAAGAUUAAUUUAGAUGUUAAAAAUUGAGAUUCUUAGAACAAAAUUUGAAAUAAAAUUUCUGUAACGUGAGUGAAGAAAAAGAUUGUUAAAUCGGGCUGUAACUUGCACAUAGUUUAGCUCUAUGGGAAGACAUUUACUGCGGUGGAACAAGGAUCGUAACAUUUAAUUGAGAAUACGUGAAGGACACAUUAAUUUGCAACAUAUUAAAAGUAACAUUAAAAAAGUGAAUAAAGAAAUUGGAAAAUCCACAUACAAGUAUCAAGGAAUUAUCUUAAAUGAACUACCAAAAAGCAUGAACAAGGUUGCAGUCAGUAUGCUGAAGCAAAAAAUGCAAAAUUUUAAUAAUUAAGUUUGGCAAUGUACAAAAUGUGUAUUGAUAUUGAAAACGUAAGAAUUUUUUCUUGAAUGCCAGAAUAUACGAUUUUUAGAUCCCGAAAGGCUAUUUAAGCUUUUAAUUUUGUGAAAUAUUUAAGAAAAUUUAUUAUUAAUUAUAUAAUUGUAAGGAUGUAAAAAAUAAUAAUUUGCACUAUUCUUAUUGGAGUAGUGUAAAUAGAAAAUAUCAGAUUUCAUUCUUUUGUAUGUUUUUCCCACCCGGAUAUCCUUCAGUUAUCUUGUGUUUUUAGAUAAAUGAUGCUGCUAAAGAAGAGAAAUAAGUAAGGUAAAUUAAAUGAUUGUUGCACAUGUAUUAGUGGCUAAGCGUGAGAAAAUGAUUUAUAAAAAAUAAGCAUUCUUAUACCUUUAUAAUUUAAGGCAGGAAUGUGAAGAAUAAUUUUGUACCAAAAAAUAGAAGAAAUGUCUUUAUUUUGUAUAAUUAUUUUUUUAACUUCAUAUGUGCUCACACGAUGAGCUUGGACUAACUUUAACUCAAAAGUACUGGCCUAUUUUGUCUCUUUUUAGAUAUCAAUUCUACAUUACUUACAGAGUAAUUUGAACCUAAGAUGAAAAAAAUCAGAAGAGGAAUUUUCGUAUAAACUCAAUUUUAGUGCAUUUUAAAAUUUU